GUUGCUUCUCCUUCUGCCAUGAUUGUAUGUUUCCUGAGGCAUCCCCAGCUAUGCUAAACUAACUCCAGGAACUGUCCUUGAAAAACUAAGCAUGGAAUCAAGGUUGCAGAACAUCCCGUCCUGGGAAGAAUUCUAAGCAGUUAAUCUGUAUUCCUGUUGGAAUCAGGCUGACGCCCACCAGACCACCAGAUGGCCAUCACUCAAGAC
rnacentral:lncRNA from 10 species